GUUAAUACAAAAUUCAAACAGAGGCAGAGAGGUCUUCUCAGCGUAGAAGCUAGUUUUAAAAAAAAAAAAAAAAAAAAAAAGGGGGAAAAAAGCAGUACGCCUGUCUCAAACAGGCUAUAUGUGCGUUUUCUCUGCUGCCAAACAAGGGUUUCUUUCCGGGAGCGAAUGGUGAUUGUCGCUUGACAAGAGCUUCGGCCAUAAUUGUCUUUAUAAUACAAGAGGUUAUAAUACGCCGUCUAAGCAGGUUUCAGGUCAGAUUGGAGGAUGCAAUUAGCUGUUACCGGGAAGUGACGAGACGGACCAUGGCUAGCUAGUUAGCAUACUAACUUCAGUAGGAGAACGAGAAGAAAGGGCACGAUAUAGACAAUAAUUGAUAUUGGCGUUGCUUUCCACUACCGGAGACAGCUCAUGCAGUGGAGAUGUGCAGAGACAGCAGAUCGAAGCAGAUGGCAAGAGUCAUUGUAAUAACAAAUCAAGUGAUACCCUCAGCAGGUCACAUCCACUGGGUUAGACUGCCUUAACAUCAGAGAUCUUGAGCCAGCAAUUUCUACAUGGAAAAUUGAUUUUGGCUUUUGCUCCCACGGGGGAACAUAAGAAGAAGAUUGCCUGAACAUUUACAAGUUAAGACACAUUUGGGAAAAGGGACUACAUUUUCAAUAAAUGUUCGUAGUACUUUUUCUGUUUGAAUGUGUUCAGCCUGUGAUAAAGAGAAAUCACUCAAAACAUUUGCCAUGAUAAUGGGGCUCAAUAAAAGCAAAAAAAAGAAAAUAAGGUAGUACAGUUAAUUUCCACUUGCAUGCUGAAAGUUGGGUUUUGAAGUCAUUGUAAGAAAAUUAGGUAGAAAAAGCUUCCACCGUGAUAUCAGAUCAUUUCACUGAGGUUCACCUUCUUGGUGUGGUCUACACAACAUACCCUAUUCAGAUAAAUACCUUGAGGACUGCUGAUGUUCUUGACCACUGAUUGGCUGUAUAGCUCACUCACUCUGUAGAAGAAUGUCUGAUAAGAAUAACUUGGUUUGAAGGAUAACAGUAAGAAGUACGCAAGGUCCAUUAUCACGCUGCACCAUGAGAAUCUACAGGGACAGAAAUUACAUCUCUGAUAGCAGAGCCAGGCAGGAACCGUUGGGAAUGAGGUCAAUGCCGUGUGGCACCUCAACUGUGGCGGAGGCGGAUAUUGUCCGUAUCACAGUGCCCAGAGGAUUGUGUGAGCCAUGAUCAGUUUCCAUUCCUUUUAGCUUGUGAUAUAGUGCAAGUUAUCCAGGCUUUAUCUUUAAAGUAGGAAAAGGAGUUCAGUGAGGUUUGGGGGAUGACGCUGGACUGCAUCUCUACUCUGCUGCAGAGGCUGAAAGCACAAUGACGGCGAUGGAUAGCUGAAAAGAUGUGGGAUUUGCAUUAAAAUGAGAAAAAAGACACAAUUAUACGCUUGUCAUUAGUCUAGUGACAUCCACUUGAGAGAGGAAAAAUGAGAUAGAAGGGGGAAAGAAUAAGAGGAGCUGUUAAUACAGCCUGCAACAUUAUGCUUGUCCUUUCACUUAUCUGUGCGUGUGUGUGUGUGUGUGUGUGUUUGAUCGUGACCAUUAUUAACAUUUUCUUUAGUUUCCAUUGCACUUCAGUCUCUAAUUCUCCUUUAUUAAUAUUCAGCAGUUUGCGUAACAAGCAGUGCAUCAUAAUUAUUGGACAUUGUGGACAGAUUGCUGAAAACAUAUGAAACAAUGUAAGUGGACAGAAAAAUGAUUGUGGCCUCAUGUAAGAGAAGGUGCAAACUUAAGAAGGAUACAGAAAUAAAUUACAACUGUCUUUUAGUCAGUUCAGCAUGUCAGUGAACAUGAAACAAUGUGAAAGUUGUCCACAGGCGAGCAUAAACCUCAACAUAAAUGGAAGAUUAAGUUUCCAAUAAUAAAGUAAUUCAUGAAGGUUUACUUUGGUUUAAAUUGAGCUUUUUUUCUCAAGGAAAUUCUUCUGGAAACCAACAGAGUGAGAGUUGUGUCUCUCUUAAGAAAUUACUGACCUGUAUUACUGGAGAAUUAUAGAUUUUUAUUAUGGAAUAUCCGUUUUAAAGGAAUACACCACCGAAUUGGACUUCCAUAAAUCUAGAAGAGAGACAAGUUAAAGUAAGGACAGUCAAAAUUGAAGCAUCAAAGGAUGACAUAUCUUGAUUUUUAGUCUCUAGUAUGGAUCAAGCACCAAAAACACAAGAUCCUACAAUUCCCAUAACUCAAGCAUCUUUCAUUAGACCCUCCCUGCCUGGUAAACACUUCAAACCCCAUGAUUCAGGCUUUCCUUUCAAAAUUUUGUUGCCAACAACUGUUAAGACAACUGUUGAACUGGUGGAGUGCCCCUUUAAGACAAGUGCGGAGAAGAAGGAUCAAUUCAAAACUUCCAUUGUUUUGAAAAAGUGAUCUUUUUCAGCCUGGUUAUGGACAAGACCAGUGUGUGUGAAUCAGUUUGGCUCCACUUGCAUGCAAUGUUUACACAUAUUGCAGAGAGACCUUGUCAGUGUAAAGUUUCUCAUCAUCUUAAGGUAUUGUGGAGUGUUUCUCCCUAGAUAUCAUUCCAACUCUUCUAUAAAAUGCACUUGGUUAACUGCUCCAGCGUCUGAGGAAGAUGCCCUGUCAGAAUAGGACCCAAGUUUAUUGAGUGUAUUGCCAGGUUACUCAGACCUUUGUCAA